rnacentral:rRNA from 1 species
AAGGGUAUGGCUGUUCGCCAUUUAAAGUGGUACGCGAGCUGGGUUUAGAACGUCGUGAGACAGUUCGGUCCCUAUCUGCCGUGGGCGCUGGAGAAUUGAGGGGGGCUGCUCCUAGUACGAGAGGACCGGAGUGGACGCAUCACUGGUGUUCGGGUUGUCAUGCCAAUGGCACUGCCCGGUAGCUAAAUGCGGAAGAGAUAAGUGCUGAAAGCAUCUAAGCACGAAACUUGCCCCGAGAUGAGUUCUCCCUGAGACUUUAAGUCUCCUGAAGGAACGUUGAAGACGACGACGUUGAUAGGCCGGGUGUGUAAGCGCAGCGAUGCGUUGAGCUAACCGGUACUAAUGAACCGUGAGGCUUAACCUUACAACGCCGAAG